CCAUCAGCUCUGAAAAACAUAAUUGAUUGGAAUUAUUCAUGGAACUGGUGGGAGAUGGAGCGAGUCAUUUUUCCGGAAUUCAAGAACAGGAUUGUGAACUUUUUAUCUACCGCAGAAUAGAAGACCACUGCAUGUGAAUCAUGAUACAAUUGUCCGGAAAACUCGAGGAUAAGCCACUGUACGACGCGUCAUUUAUAGUUCAAGGUAAAAAAAGUUUAACAGAGAGGGGCACUAAAUAGAGGGAAACAACAGCUGAGAUAAAACGGACAAAAUUAUCACCGCACCGAUAAGAUAAGUCUUUUCAUUGAUUAUCUGUAUAAUCGAAAUAUUUUUACUAUCUGGUUUUUUCUAUAAGAAUUUUGAAGCUACAUUUCUUCUUUAUUUUUUUAAAAUACAACAAAUUUCGAAAAAAAUAAAUUUAAAAAAAUAUCAAACUUGGUGCAAAUUAACAUUAAUACGCUCUCUGAAAAGUCCUUGAAACUUGCAAUAUCUCAAAAAAUUACGCAAAUGUGUGUAAAAACAAAUUAAUCCGAUAAUUAUAACAAGAAAAUAAUAAUAUACAUAUUAUAUUUAUGAGAAGGAAUAACUGUAUAAAUAGUAGACUAGAUGUAGAAGAAUGAAGACGUGAGAGGAGGAGAGAAAAAGAGGUAUGGUACUUUUACAAUCAAGUAUGAGGAUGAUGAAUAAAAUUUGGAACCGUUACUCGCCCCGUUACUUUUCCUCCUUUUAAAUCUUUAUAACGUCCCCAAUAUAUGCAUAUAUAUAUAUAAACAUAUAUCCAAAUAGAACGAACCUCAAUAAUUAUCCUCCAGUUUUAAAGGUAAAUCUUUCACUAGUGCAAUUAAUAACCACUAAAUAAUAAAUAACGAAAGAUAAAUGACUUAUAAAUUGCCGAGUGAUGUAAUAAUUACAUAAUUCAGAUUACGGACGCUUAAUUAUAUCGAUGAGCUAUUGUUUUCCUUAUUAAAGGGAUUAACAUUCCCACAUUGUUACCUGGAUGUAGCUUACGCAAUUUACUGGAGAAGUGGAUUAAUUAUUAAUAGAUAAUAAUGCCUAAAGUCGUCAAGCAACGUUCAAAAAUUCGAUCGAUUUAAUGUCUGGAUAUUAUUAAUAAAUCGUAGGAUGAUUAAUUAUUUAAAUCUUAUUGAUUAGCCAAUUUAAAUGUUAAUGAUCUCUUAGUUAGUAUAAUUCUAGUAUCUAAAGGUUUAUUCAAUUUUGUUUUGUAUGAGCUAUUAAUUAUCGAGCGUUCUAUUUCGGUAAAGUUUAUAUUGUUAAGAGAGGUAUAUUUUUUUUUUUAAACAAAACGCCCACCUUAAGACGUAGUAUAUUUUAUUAACGGUAUAUUUUGUGAUAUUCUCGCGGGUCUUUGUUAUCAAAGGCGACUAAUUCAUUGACAUGACUUGGAAGAUAUCCAAACCCUCUUGAAACGUCAUUGUCUUUUCUUCUUUAUGAAACAAUUCGCGACAAUUAUCAUCUCCCGUUUUACUAUACAAACUUACACAUAUUUAUUUUAGACUUUAUGUACAAGCUUAUUUUUAUUUAUUUAUUUAUUUAUAAUGUUAUUUUUACUUUUCUUUUAUCACCGUGAGGUUGUGAAAUUGAGUUCGAUGGCACCGGAGGAAGUGGCAACUACGACACUCAAUGAUAUUAUUAAACAAAAGAACAUUAUUUAAGAAAACUACGCAUUUAUAAAAUUGAGGAAAUAAAAAAUAUCAAUUGAUAGUACUUAUUGUCAAUAAAAAAAAAAAAUUUCUUGGAGCCGGAUAAGAAAAACUACGCAUUUAAAGUGCGCACUUGAUAUUUGUUUUGUUGUUUUGAUAAAUAAAAUAUUUUUGUUUAUCAAAUGAUUUUGUAAUGCGGGAAAAUUUUAAAACAAACUUUAUGUCACUAGUGAUUGUUAUCAAAACAUCAAUGACGAACGAUAAUUACAACUUUCUUUAUGGCAUUAAUCCAAGUCAUCGAACGUAGACCAUAUUUCUAAAUUUAUCGUUAAGGUUGUUGGCCUCGUAAAACUUUACCCGGGUUCAUACAACCGCAAUGUCGUACAAUAAUUUUUAAAUAAAUAAAAAACAGUUUAAAUAAAUAAUCCGACAAGAAGGACGUCAUAAAUUCGCGAUAAAGUAUUUAAAAAUGGACGACGAUCCAGUCAAAGACUUUUCGAGCUAAAUUUAUACAAGUGAAGAAAUAAACAUAAGAAGAACAUCGCGUGCUGAUAUGAUAACAAUUGCGUGGAUCCCACAGCUGAUUAUUUUCCUGAUUUAAUGUGUUGAAACAGCGACAAUGACAUUGAUUGAUUCACAUUUGUUGAAAUCACAAGAUAAACUGAACUCUGAAGCAGUCGACGUCGACGUCUUCCUCGUCUUGGGGGUACUCUUUGGUUGACGUUAUUGUACCAGCGCCGAGGAUAAAGACACAUUGAAUUGUAACUACGUCAGUUAAGCUUUGCUGAAUAGAAGGUGGUGGUCUUGUACAAGCAGAAGAAGAAGAAGAAAUGAAGAAAGAAGAACUGUAUUACACGACAACAACGUAUGUACUGUGCGCGUGCAAGUUUGUAGCCACACGAUCAACGAUGUAGAUGCUGCUGGCUCUAUACUUGCUAGUGAUGCUGCUGAGCAGAGGUUCUGUGUCAUGUCAAGUGACAGAGAUAAAACGUGCGACGUAAGAGAGAGAGACGCGUAAUUCCUGUGCAUGCUAUCUCGGUCAGCAUUGAGUACUUGGCUGUAUAGUAUGUAAUAAAUGUAAUGCACGUGUAAGUAUCAGUGUAUCAAAUACAAGUUGUAUGUAUUUUUAUUGCUGUGUAUCGCUUUAUUUACUUUGAGUCAUUAGUCUUAUUUCGAGCUGCUUUACUGAACUCUUUUAUUUGCUCAAGCUAAUUGUUUGCAUUACGAAUUUAAAUAUUGUGCAUUUUAGAUUUAAGAUUUUGGCACGGAUAAGAAAGGUAGGUCGUGGUAGAGGAAACCGAGAUAAAGAAGAUUCGGAAGAAGCUAUAUCCAAUCGUAAUGUCAAGUCUGGAGAUAAAAAAAAUAAAUAUUAAUAAAUUGUGGUCGUCAAUCGAAAAUAAAUUGACACGGAUGUCCUUGUUUAUUGAUGGGUGAUCAAACCAGUCAGCACUUGAUGCGUCAUUAAUAUCAAUGCGUUCAUUAUUCUUUUGCUUUGAUUUAUUAUUCAUUAGAUGCCUCGUGUCUGAAAAGAGAAAAAAGAAGAUAAUCAGUAUUGUAGUUUUAAGGGAAAAAAGAAUUUAGAUAAAUGUAAACAAUCAAUCAUUAUUAUAAACAUAUUUAUGCCAAGCUUUAGUUUUUACAAUGUUAUUAUGCAACAAUCUGACCAUAAAAGUAAUGCGUGGAGUUGAGUGAGAAUUGUCUUAAGCAAAUGUUCGGAUGAUAAAUUGACAAAUUAUAAUUCAAUGAUAAAUAAAGUAAAUAAAAAAAAUCGAUACUUUUAAGGACCUCGAGUUGACACGCUCGCAUGUACUUACGAUAUGAUGCUAUCAAUUGUUGUGAGAUUGAGAUAUAUAUGUUUUGAGUAGAUGACAGAGGAACAAUGGAUUGUUGAAAGGACCUACCGAUUUAGUAGUCGUUUCUUGAUUUGGAGACCAAGGUCGGCCUUCAGACUUGAUAAAACAUCUUUUUUUUUUUUUUUUUAACACUUUUUAUUAUCUAAAGUUGAAGAAAUAAGGAAAAUUCAAAUUAUUUUAGUUUAAAUGUUAAAUUUUUUUUAUUAAAUAUCAUUGAAUCUUUAUCUAAUUAUUUUUACAAAUAUAACUACAGUAAAUAUAAUCUUGUGUAUUUUAAUAUUACAUUUUGU